GUGGACUGAGGCGAAGUGCCGAGGCCAGGGCUGGAGGAGGCGUGGGGACCAUGGAGGCUCACUGCCAGGAACCAGGAAAGGGAGUCCAUUAUUGCUGAAAAUCCAUUUUAAGGCAGCAGACGGCAGAAGACCAAAAGAGCCCCAUCGUCGGCACAGAGAACGUACAGG